UACAGAGGUCCCAAGCGUUGUUCGGAUUCACUGGGCGUAAAGGGUGCGUAGGCGGUCGGGUAAGUCUGACGUGAAAUCUCCGGGCCUAACCCGGAAACUGCGUCGGAUACUAUCCGGCUAGAGGAUUGGAUGGGAGACUGGAAUACUUGGUGUAGCAGUGAAAUGCGUAGAUAUCAAGUGGAACACCAGUGGCGAAGGCGAGUCUCUGGACAAUACCUGACGCUGAGGCACGAAAGCCAGGGGAGCAAACGGG
rnacentral:rRNA from 1 species